ACGUGGUAGUGAGGAAAGUAUCAAGAUAACAGACUGGAUUCCUGGAGCAGAUGAGUAGACUUUCAUGGCCAGACAACAGAACAAGCUGACCAAGUCCAUGUAGCCAAUUCUGCAGUCAAAACCAAAGUGCUGGGACUCAGAAGGUUUCGCUUGUUAAUUUAACUGCGAGUAAAUAAAGAAAUGCUGUUGGCCCUAUUAAUCACAGUGUAGGCCUGAGGGAUAACGGCAGAUGACUCAUGGACCAGACACCAGUGACAGCGCGUUACUCUGUGUCUGUUGGCCAAGUGUUACUGACUGAAAUCACUGGCUCUACCUCAGUUCACUGCAGCAAAAUGUCUGGUCUUGUUUGGAUUUGCUUGAGAAAUGACCUUCAUUGUUCUUAUCCACAUUCUCACCUUAUACAAUGUCUGUGUGUGUGCCAGAGUCACCUCCCCUGCAAGGGUGGACAGAUUUAGGGAUGCUCAAAAUGGCACAGCUCAUGCAGGAAAAUUGUAUAUGACUCUAAGGAAUACUGCAAUAAAAAACACAGCACAAGUCCAGAGUGAAUACAUCCAUGAGACACAGUGAUGACGGACUGCUUUUAGAUUGGCACUAAGCAGCUGCUCUGUGACAAGAUGGUUUGACAGAUGUUUGCUUCAGAUCCCGAGGCCUCAUCACUUCUUACUGAUGUAGAAGGUGUUUGCUUUGCUUUCCUGCUUUUGCUUAACUGGCUAGCAAGUGAAUUCAGAGUGAGCAGGUCGGCUCAGGAACAAGAAGGACCUGAAGAGAUCAAAAUAACAAUUAAAAACUAUGGUCCUGUUCUUAAAGGGGAGCUGCCUGUGGCCGUGCCGAGCACUUCUCAGGAUGAGACCUGCCCAGAUCACCUCACAUUAAAAUUCCACGUCUGAAAGCAGUUUUAGAAAGGAAAUGGCAAAUCAAUUUUUUCUGAAGAGGAUAAACAACUGGCAACAAAUGUAGGCAGGAAAGGGUAGCAGUUCAGAACAUCCUGCAAAAGGCUUCAACAUUGGUUUCUGCUUGCUUUCUGCCUCUUGAAGAAUAAAUGAAAAUGUAUAUAGAGAAAUGAGGUUCCUAGAAAGAAGUUCAAAUUCCAGAUGGAUGAUACCACCCAGGCACCAGCUGUU